CUUUUCCCAAAUGUCACGCGAAUGGAAUGACACAGCUAUAGCCGUUGGUGCCUGGCUUCUCCUCCUCAACGUGACAGGAAGUCUCUCGCUGGAUGGGCUGCCCCUCCAUCCCGGGUGUCUCCCUGCAGCGUUUUUGUUCCAGAAACCAGAUCGUCUGUUUCACAGUUUCCCACAGUCUGGAUUUUACUGAUGGCAUCCCAUUGGGGCUUGCUUCUGAAAAGCCACAGAGGAGCUCAUUUUCCCGCGUGACCUUCAUCUGGGGGCUUGCUCUCCACCGAAGGGCCGGGAAAGCCACGCGUCAAGGCUGCCAGCCUCAUGCCCAUCCGUCUGCAUCUUUGGAGCGCUGGCGGAUGGAAAGAGGGCCAGAGUUCUUCCAUGUCCAGUCCAGGGUCACUCUCUCUAUAGAGAGGUGCUGGGCUCUGCCCAACGUGAAAACACGCUCACACGAGCUGAACAAAGAGGCAGGCACGGGGGAGAGGCCUCUGUGGACAUGGAGGGUGAGCAGUGCCCGAAGCCUCCCACCGUCAGGGGAAGUGGUGGGAGAAGGGGCUCAGGGUAUUCACGCUGCCCCCUCGAGCACAGGGCUGGGUUGUCCACCGCUGCCUGACCGUGAGGGACUUCACUGCCUCUCCUUCCUCCCUGUCCUCUGCUGAGAUCGGAGUGUUUUUGCCGUUCGAUCUAGUGCCUGCGGCUCUGAAGGUGGCCUGUCUGCCGAGCUGGGCGUCUGUGGACCCCUGGACCUCGCUGGGCCUCACCCAGGGCUCGCUGCUGCUCGCUCCGUCUCCGUGCCAGGCAGUGUCCUCGGGGGCUCCAUGCAUUGGGGAGCGAUGAGUGUUUCCAGAGGUAGUGGGAAUGCAGAAGAGGGUCACCCCUCCCCUGUGCCAGGAUUGAGGUGCCCCCAAACUGAGUUUGGGGAGCUAAGUGGAAAGCAGGCCCACAGCACAGAUGCAGCUGGGCACACAGAGCAGAAGCAUGUGCAGAAGUUCAGGGCAAGGACCGGCCGGGCGGCUCUGGGAGAGGCGUCACCACAGGAGGUCACCAAGGGAGUCCGUUGUCAGGAAGGGAGUCGAGGGUCACCGAGGGAACUGGGGGUCACCGCCCAGGGGUCUGCAGGGCUGGAAGGGCGAAGCCAGCACGCUGCCCCGUGCUGUUGGGCAGGCAGGCCACCUGGGCCCCGCACGGCAGGUGUAGAGUCCUGGUCCGCAUGCUGGGGAAUAUGGGAGGGUGUCCCUGAGGGAAACCGUAGCCCCUGAGCGUCAGAGCACCCCACAUGUUGAGGGCCGAGGAGCCCUGGAGAUCGCUGGGAAGGGCCAUGAGGUGCUCUCUGAGCGUGUCUGGGGACUCCGGGGAGCUGGGCUCAGCCUGCUCUGCUCAUGGGGCGGUCGUGACCUGCCACGGCUCUGGGCUUUCGUGGCCUGGAGUUGGCUUCCUGCCCCCCUCCCCCCACCACACCCAAUCCUCCCUGUCCUUGGCUGUGAAAUGGGGGUAGAGAGGAUUAAAUGAAGUACAGUAGAGAGCUCCUUGAAUACUAGCUGGCAUACAGUAGGCACUCGAUAAGUCGGAGUUCCCGUUCCGUGUUUCGGCUUUGACCCAUGGCCUCCCACCUGCCAGAGGGCCCCGUCCCCACUGGGUGCACCACUGCUGGUCCGUUCUCGUUCCCGCAGGUGAGAGGGCCGCUGGGUCGAAUGUAAGCUCCAGCACAUCACAUUGUUUUCACCAAAGCAGCUCUUGCAAACCGUUCACUUUCAGCCAUGGGGCCCAGGGAGCUGCCCUGCCUGCGGUAGAGAAAUCCGGGCCCCCGUCCUGCUGUGCGUGCCAGCCAGCCUGCCCCCGGCUCUGCCCAGCACGUAGCAGCUCAGCACUGCCCCCUCUCUGGUCGCGGGCACCUCGCCCCCGGGGAGUGGAGACCUUGCCUCCACACCGGGCUCUGGAAGGCAGCUGUUCCCCAGCAGCUGCCGCCUGGCUCACCAAGGGCAGGGAAAGUCUCAGGAGACGUCCGCCCCGUAGAGAAUUGCACUAGAGUUGGGAGUAGAGGCGAAAUGAAUCCACCCGGACGGCUGGGUUCAUCUCUUUCCAAGUGACUCAGUGCUUUCGUCCCCCCUCCCUCUCGUCCUCCCCACAUGGCGGCCUGCAGAUGAUGUCUGAGGCCCGAACCGGAGAGAUUCCUGCUCCCGGUUGAGGAGUGGAAAGCCCUAACUGGACCCGCCUGGUCUCUGGGCUCCGAGCCUGGGCCCUCUGCGGCCUCCUCCGCUGGCUCUUUGUACUCGGGUGCCUCGGAAGGGCUGCCCCUCGGGGGGCAACGUCUCAGCAGCGAAUGUGGGGCCCACCGUGCAGGGCGCCUGCCCCCCGCGCAGUGGGAGGGCACGAUGUGGUCUCUCUGCACACAGGCUGCUGCCAGGUGACAGGGGCCCGGGGGCUGGGGCUCUGUUGCCCACAGCUCUUUUGUGGCAGGGAAGACGGGAACCAGAGCUAAUUUAAUAGGGUCCUGAGGCGCCCUGGCAGCGGGAUGGUUGCAGCUUCCUUUGUGGAGAAUCAGCCCUGCCAUAGCAACCUGCCUUCUAGUGUCUAGAAGAGCUGUAUUCAGCCUCAUGACUCUCCCCCCCCUUUUUUUUUUCAAUUGGGAAAGGGGGAGGAAGUAGGGAGAAAGGGCUCCGAUAUAAGCAGUUACCAAGGAGACCCGAGUCGGGGUUGGAAAGGUUUUCUCCUUCCCUCAGUCCAUACAGGCGGAGGAGGGGCGAGCGCCCAAACGCAGGGGAUCGCCGGAGGUCCCGGGCUGGAGUGGCGAGUCCUCCCUGCGCCCGUGGGGACGGGUGCAGGCCGGGGCUUGGCAGAGGCUCCGGCAGGGCUGGGGUGUCCAGGGCACUCCGAGCUCACGGCCCGCCCCGCCAGCACUGCGGAGGGAUGGACAGAGCCCGAGUUCCUGGCCGCUGGCUCCCUGCCCGUUUCCGGGAGACGGCCGGAACCUGCCUUCUCCCUUAAGUCCUGGGGUCGGGAGAGAAGCCAUGGGGUGCACGUACUCCUCUCCGCGGGACGAGCCCACCCUGAGAAGGCUGCAAUCCCUGCCUCCGAAGGAAGGCCCAGUGGCCGGCUCCCUGACCUGGGAAAGAGCGGGCUCCAGGCACACAGCCCGGUGUGGAGCUGUCCGGCAGGGUCGGGCCGGUUGAGGGCACUCAGGUGUGGACCCACGCGGACGGAGCAGAUGCAGCUUCUACGAAACCUUAGUCCUUGAGAAGAGGCAGGAGUUGGCUUUUCUGCUGCUGUCAGACCCUGACGUCAGGUGGGUCAGGAGCCCUCCAACAGCCUUCUCCGGCCCGACCGGCCCAGAGGCCACGCUCAGUGCCGGGCGCGGGGCUGAGCGCAGAGGCCCAAGCAGCUCCCCGCGAGCCUCAGAUCCAGCAGUGAGUCGGGAGCAUGGAGUUGAGGGCCCGGACGGAGGCCUGUGUGCCACGUGAGCAGCAGGGAGAGGCGUUCCGAAGAGGAACUUGUGCGUUGUGUCUUAAGGGAUACGUAGGAGUCUGGGACAGAGAGGAAGGGCAUCGUGAGGAGAGGCUCCGGGGCAGCCGUGAGCAGGAGGUCGGCGUGGCCCCGGGCGUCUGGAAGGUGCGAGACGCGCUCCGCACCAGAGGCCUCUGUGCUCCUCGGAGUAGCGUCUGUGAUACGGUCCCUGCUCGGGGCUUUGCUUUCCUAAUUGUCCUCGUUGGACGGAGCCUUCCAGAUCUGUCUCCACGCACGUUUCUAAGCCUAGGAUGCAGUUUUUAUGUUCUUGGUGCAGAAGCGUUACGUGCUCGAUGUAGGAAAAAGAGGGGUGGGGGACCUGGGAAUAGAAAUCAGCCAAAGAAGGAAUCAAAAAAGACAGUCACUCAGCCCUGGGAGGGAACAGUUUUCAGCGUGCUCUUGUGUGCCCUUCCGUACCUUCCCUUCUAAUCGGAAUGGAAUUGUGCCACCUGCAUUAUUCUAUAACCUGCUUUUUCCACUUGGCAGCGUAUCUCGAGCAUCCUUCCCUGCUGGUGGAUGUGAUCCACGCUCCCUGAUUCUUAGACAUUGGAGUUGUCCCCUCCUUUUAUAACUGUAAAAUGCAUUUGUAAUUUGAAAAACCAAAAUUGGGAACAUCACAGGAAGCACCUGCCUCGUAUUCUAACCCCGCAAUAUCCCCCUCCAGGUGCUGGGGUAUUUCCCUGGAAGCCCUGUCUCUGGGAAUAAUUAAUGGUGUGUGUUCCGUUAUUUAAGGACACACACUCUUGUUUUGCUCCUCUGGGUCGCGCAUCCUCCCCCAGAAACGGCCACGUGGGAGGGAGGCCAUGUCGUGGUCAGCACUGGGGGGGCACAACUGGGUGGAUGCUUUUUAGGUGUCAACUAAGUGCAUUUCGUUUGUUUUCGUUUUCAGUUGAAGGGAAACUCACACCUUGUGAACUUUGCCAUUCUGAUCAUUUUUUAAAAACGUACAGAUCAGUGGCUCUCGUGUGGCCAUGGCCACGUACAAAGGGAAAUCACGUGUGCCCUGGGAGCCCCUGCUCUUCUCUUCUAGUGUCUCAUCAGCAAGGUUUGCGUCGCCGAAGCGUCCGUUCAUGUUCGAGUUUGUUUCAGCGUAGGUCGUCCGCUCCCACGGCUCAGAAUUCAGCAGGCGUACAGUGGUGGGAGUCCCAGCUCCGAGCCCCGGGAGAGCGUCCUGGUCCCGGCGGAACACAGACGGGAAGGGCAGGGAAGACGGGGCUGUUCGAGGUGGGGCAGGGACAGAAGCUGGACAUGUGGUCUGAGAUGUUGGA